rnacentral:rRNA from 1 species
AACGGGAUUAGAUACCCUGGUAGUCCACGCUGUAAACGAUGUCGAUUUGGAGGUUGUGCCCUUGAGGCGUGGCUUCCGGAGCUAACGCGUUAAAUCGACCGCCUGGGGAGUACGGCCGCAAGGUUAAAACUCAAAUGAAUUGACGGGGGCCCGCACAAGCGGUGGAGCAUGUGGUUUAAUUCGAUGCAACGCGAAGAACCUUACCUACUCUUGACAUCCAGAGAACUUUCCAGAGAUGGAUUGGUGCCUUCGGGAACUCUGAGACAGGUGCUGCAUGGCUGUCGUCAGCUCGUGUUGUGAAAUGUUGGGUUAAGUCCCGCAACGAGCGCAACCCUUAUCCUUUGUUGCCAGCGGUUCGGCCGGGAACUCAAAGGAGACUGCCAGUGAUAAACUGGAGGAAGGUGGGGAUGACGUCAAGUCAUCAUGGCCCUUACGAGUAGGGCUACACACGUGCUACAAUGGCAUAUACAAAGAGAAGCGACCUCGCGAGAGCAAGCGGACCUCAUAAAGUAUGUCGUAGUCCGGAUUGGAGUCUGCAACUCGACUCCAUGAAGUCGGAAUCGCUAGUAAUCGUAGAUCAGAAUGCUACGGUGAAUACGUUCCCGGGCCUUGUACACACCGCCCGUCACACCAUGGGAGUGGGUUGCAAAAGAAGUAGGUAGCUUAACCUUCGGGAGGGCGCUUACCACUUUGUGAUUCAUGACUGG